UUUAAAGUCGAGCCUGCUCUAUGAUUUUUAAAUGGCCGCAGUAUUUUGACUGUGCGAAGGUAGCAUAAUCAUUAGUUUUUUAAAUGGAAACUUGAAUGAAUGGUUUGACGAAGUAAUAUCUGUCUCUAUAAUUAUUGUUAGAAUUUUAUUUUUAAGUUAAAAAGCUUAAAUUUUUUAAAAAGACGAGAAGACCCUAUAGAGUUUAAUAUAAGAUUUUAUUUGUAAUUAAGAAAAUAUUUUAAAAUUUAAAUAUUUAGUUGGGGUGAUUAUAAAAUUUAAGAAACUUUUAAUUUAAUUAACAUUGAUUUAUGAAUAAGUGAUCCUUUGAUAAGAUUAAAAGAUUAAAUUACCUUAGGGAUAACAGCGUUAUUUUUUUAGAGAGAUCAAAUCGAAAGAAAAGUUUGCGACCUCGAUGUUGGAUUAAAAUUUAUUUUUAGUGUAGGAGCUAUUAAUUUAAGUCUGUUCGACUUUUAAAAUUUUACA
rnacentral:rRNA from 1 species